rnacentral:tRNA from 1 species
AGGAGAGAUAGCGAAGAGGCUAAACGCGGCGGACUGUAAAUCCGCUCCUUCGGGUUCGGGGGUUCGAAUCCCUCUCUCCAUUUC